AUGCACUGGCUUCGCUGAUUCCUCCUUUCUGAAGAACUGUAAUGCCAUUAAUUUGGUGUUGCAGGGAAACAGGACUGUUACUUUGAAAAAAUUAGAGUGUUUAAAGCAGGCUAACGCUUGAAUACAUUAGCAUGGAAUAAUGAAAUAGGACGUUUGAUCCUAUUUUGUUGGUUUCUAGGAUUGACGUAAUGAUUAAUAGGGAUAGUUGGGGGCAUUAGUAUUCAAUUGUCAGAGGUGAAAUUCUUGGAUUUAUUGAAGACUGACUACUGCGAAAGCAUUUGCCAAGGAUGUUUUCAUUAAUCAAGAACGAAAGUUAGGGGAUCGAAACGAUCAGAUACCGUCGUAGUCUUAACCAUAAACUAUGCCGAC
rnacentral:rRNA from 1 species